rnacentral:lncRNA from 9 species
CUGGGAGGUCUGACCUAAACGAGCCCGGGGACACGGAGGAGGCCAUUAAUCAUCAUUAUUUAUUAUUCCUUAUGUAAUGGGUGUUAUGAAACAUGGGAUCUUGUACCAGGCACAACUGGGAAUAUGCGAAGGAGAGUCACCAGUCACCAGUCAGAGCUUCCCAUUGGAUCACCAGGGUGCUGUGAGUGCCAGAGGCCUGGCCAGCCCCCAGCCCGGCUCAUCUCGAUGCAUGUUCCUCAGGCUCAGGAAUGGAGCCCAUGGAAUUUGCGGAUCUCUGAGCCUCCCGGUGUCUUCAGGAUGUGGCAAGGUCUCUCCGCUUGCAGGCCCCCAAGGCCGGGGUUCAGUGAAGGGGUGGCUCUGAGCUCCUCUGAUCUCCUGCUCCUAUCCGUCUGUGGAAUAGUUUCCUUAGUGCAAGGCUCGUCCUUUGGACCCCAAGGAGCCACAGGCAGGGAGGAUCCUCCGUGUGUCAGCAGCCGGGUUCAGCUUGGGAACCUGCAGGAGCUCCCAUGCCCAGCCCUGGAAGAGCCAGCCUCACCUGUGGCCUUCAGCACUGCUGGCUCCGGUUACUCAGCCCGUGUUUUCUUUGGCUCUGGAUCUCUGGGACACCAGAUUGGCCAGAACAAGACAACUUUGUGAUACUUAAUUUCCCAAAGAGCAGAGUCUGCAACACAAUCAGGCUGUUUGUGUGCUGUGCGGUCCCCAGCCACUCCCUCCCCAGUUGCCCCCAUCUCUGCCCCACCUGGGGCCCCUGGGGGCGCAGAGCACUCUUCAUUCCCAGUGGCCAGUGGUCUAGGAUUUGACCAGGCUGGGCAGAGAGGGCAGAGCCAAAUCCCACCGCAUAGAUGAUCACUGAUAGAUAGCCCUUCCUCCUCUCCUCCUUGGGGUGCUAGAGGAGCCCCUGUGAGAAGAAGCCGGAAUAGUCUAGAGCACAGGCUGUAGAGCUAGAGACACCUGAGUAGAAAUCUCCGCUCUACUACACACCGGCUGUGUGCUUUGAACAAGGUACCAAAGGGC